UACUGAACAUGCACUACUUCUUCUUGGAGAAGCAGAGCCCGCUCACACAGCGUUGGCAAGUGCGGCAGGUGGCCUUUGACAGCAAGUACCGGUACCUCUACUACACAAAGUCAUUGAGCCGCGCGGAUAUUGAGGAGGUCAUGACACGCUGCCACGACGGCGACCCCAGCUCCGGUGCAUGUCCCAACUCCUCCAGCGGCACUUCGAGUCGAAAAGUCAAGUGGAGUGGGAAGGUCAAGGUGACGCAGCUGCGAUACGCAGCAGACGAGUACAUUGUCGCGCCUGGCAGCAGCGACUUUGACGAGCGCAUCUUACUCACCCUCAUCGUGGUCGGCUACGAGCGACCCUUGGGGAAGCACCGUAGCCGUGGAAAGGUGGCGAGCUCCGGUAACCACAGCAUCGGCGGAACGUCCGAGAAGAGUUUCUCCUUGUGGAGCUCCGUCUCGCGGCACUACAGCACAUCUCGCAUCAGCUCUGUGCGUCUCGGCGACAGUGACGGCGAUGCCGACGAGGAUGCCGCAUCGAAGACCACGGGUGUGAACCAGCCGCUGCUGUUGAACGCCGAGAACGAUGUGCCGGAGCCGGAGUCUCCGUCGGGGUUCCUGCACAUGCCGAGCUACCCGGUGAACGAGUCUCUCGACGACGACUUCGAGGAUGAGGACGAGAACAUGUUUCGGGACAUCGACCUCGUGCCGGACGACGAGGAGGACGAGGAGGAGACGUCCGUGGCGGCGUCGGAGGCGGAAACGGAGGAGGGCAGCGACGACUGCGACGCAGAUGAUGGCGAUGACGUGGCGUUCAACUCACCUCCGUCCACACCGACAGGCAGCACGCGGAGUAGCUACAGCUUCUUCAGUCGGCGCCAGCAAAGCACAAAAGGAGUUGGCAAGGCAAAGGACGAAAAGACGGUGCAGCUGCAGUUCCGCGCAGCCAACUACGAUGUAUUCCGCAUCGUCAGCCUGCGCGUUCGCCAGGCGCUGGUGCGCCACGGUCUGUGCGGCCCGCUGCACGCGGGGCUUCCACCCUACGACCCCCGCAACGGUAUCGCACUCGCAACUGUCCCGCUGCACCUGCGCCACGCCUUUCGCCGCCUUAACGACGUCGUCUUCUACUCGCUCCAGAUCGGCCACGUCGUGUACGUGCGGCAGCAGCGUGAGGUGCGCGGGAUAGAAGGGUACCUUUGCAUCACGCACGACUCCAUCCUGCUGCUGCAGCUGGAUGGCAAAUGCCCUCGCUGGCUGGACCUGGAGGACAUCGUCGGCGUGCAGUACGUGCUGCGCAGCAACCACUCCUUCAUCUCUAUCCGGGCCGCGGAGCCGUACCCGGAUUUUGUCUUCAUCCCUAUUAUACCGAGCUACCCGCCCAACUCCACCUUCAACUCGGAGGAGUGCGUGGAGGGGAUUGUGAGCAUGGUGCGGCGCCUGCUCAUGCAGCGCUUGCGCGCUGGUGAGGAGGUGGCGCUGGCCCCAAUCUCCAGCUGCCGUUUCUCUGUUCAAACUGCCGAGGACAUUGAGGAGUACGACAUUCUCUGCCAUAUCAGCGACCUCUCCAACACGUACACGGACGUGUUCAAGUAUAUUGCGCAGCAGCAGAGCACCGGUGCUGUACCUCUGCGCUGGCGCUGGGACAACUCCAAGACACCGAGCCACUUCACCUUCAAGAGGGACCUCUACCAUGCCUUGGAGCGCGAGGAGGGCGAGGACAGCGAGGACGACGACGAGGCCGCCCUUAGUCGCUCGCAGCGCCGUCCGUCUGUGGCUUCCGCCGCCGCAUCGCAUGCGCACAUGGUAGAGUCGCUGGUGCCGUCGCGCCAGCAGCAACAUCUCAGCACCGGCGGAGGUCUAGUUGCCGUACCCGUCUCUGCGCCCGCCAGUAGCGGCGCCAUCGGCGUACACGCAGCGGCGCGCAGCACGCCGUGCAUGACGCCCUCCUGUGCUAGCCAGAAGCCGUUGCGCUCAGCUCUACCACCACAGGACUUGUUGUACUCCAAUGCGAGUUUCAUGCCGGCCACCAUGACGCAGCUGAUGGCGCCGCCGUCGCGUGGCGCAGAACUGCGGGCGAAGAGAAAGUUGCUCGUCACCCGCACAGAUCGCCGCAAUGCCGGCGUUGCGGAGGCUGCAAGGAAUGCCACUGGACAUCAUCAGCCCCCUCUGUCGCGGCCUCCUCAGCCUGCAAGCGUGACUGCAGGAACGAAUCUUGGGCUGACGCAGGAAUCCUCAGCGGCUCCGGAUAUCACGCUCACCACGGCGCCGGUUUCCAGAACGCCUCCAGAGGAUGCCGCUCCGUCGGCGCUUCCGCCACGCCCCAACACUGGUGGUCGCGAGGCCGCCAUCGGCGUGCCACCUGCAUCACCAGGUCUGCCGCCACAAAGGGAUACUCAGCGUGCAUCGUCCACACCUGUAUCCACGCGACCCGCCUCCUCGAAACCGAACACCUACGGCCUCGUCCCCUCUCAGCACCACACAGACCCCGCGACUCUUGACUUCUGGUUCUCGACGGCGGCGCCUCCUGUUGCGCCGGUUGCCACCGCGCAGAAGGGUGUUCACCUAAGCGACAUCCACUCAUCCAUACACCAUGGACAGCCGGCAGCGCAGCAACAGCUGGCAACCCAACCGACCGGCGCGGCGUCUGGCGGGCACGAGCGCCUUGGUGUGGUGCCAUCAGCCAACCAGCGCGGCGUUUCUGCCGCACCGUCGGCUCAGGCGGUGAAAGUGGUCUGCGGCGCUCCUGGAAUUUUCGGCAGCAGCCUCACGUCAACGACAGCACCGGUUGGCGCUGUCUCUGCCCCGUACUCCUUUGCCUCCGCACCGAUCUCGGGCGGCGCUUUUUCCAGCGCCUUGCAACGGGCGCACUCGCCGUCUGCGGGCCACGGCGACAGCGCUACGAACGGCAGCCGCUCUCCCAAGGAGGUCACACACACGACUGAGAACAUGUCCAACGAACGGGCGGCUGACGAGGAUGAGGAGAGCGACGAGGACUUUGACAGCGAGGACAUGGAAUCCAUGCUGCAGCGUCCUGAGUCUCGCGCACCACCCGCUUCGGCAGGCACUACGACACCCGCUGCUGCCGCUGCAGGUGCGUCAGGUGAGGCAGCCUUGGACGCUGCCGGUGCCAUGGCUGCGGAGAUGAAGGACGGUGUUGUGAUGAACACCGACGGCGCGGCGUUUGUGCCCGUUGGCGGCGGUGUUGUAACACAGGUGAUGUUGACGGCGGAGAUGCUCCCCGGGUACGGCGGGCGUCGAGACGAGGACCACCGGAGUGAUGCAGCAUCUUCUCCCUCUCCGAGUCUGCAGGCCCGUCCUGAAAUGGUGGCCUUCAUCUCGCCGGUCGCCUUACCUCACUGAGAGGGGAGAAGGCACAACGGUCGUGGUCGAUGGCGCAUCUGAGACCCUCUUUGAGCUUCUCCUGAUGGGCUGAGAGUGAUGCCUCGGAAUGGUAUCUCGGCGCCUGUGGGCUGCAGCGCCUUCGCUGCUUUCUCUCUCGCUCAUGGUGACGCUCGCGUGAUCGCGAGCGAAAAUGGAAAGCGAAAGGAAAAGGAUAAAAAGCAGGCCAAAGGCGUGCGCUCAACUCGCGUGUCUUCACAGUGGAUUCUUCGCGGCGCCGGUCCAUCGCCAGCGUGGCAUUGCGAAGUCAUCUCCUCCUGUCUUUCUUAGUGUCCCCAUGCCGAGCACGCAAAGGGUUGUCGGAUAUCAGCCGUCACCGAGCGAUGGACGUGGUUUCUUCAGAGUCCGUGGGCCGCUGUUGUACUUGUUAUCUGCCCAUUGCUUUCUUCAUGGUUUUGCGAGGGAACAGAACGCGCUGGUACCCCCUCGCUUCUCUACUGUUACUGUUGUUGUCUGUGUCGCCUUUCGUUGUGAGAGGCUGCAAG
rnacentral:misc_RNA from 1 species